UAUAAACAGGAACUUAAAGGUCCAGUGUGUAACAUGUUUAGUUGUUUAUUAUCGCAAUCUGUGUUGCCCGUUUACAAACUUGUCCUUUUUAUGAAUAUUUUCAACCACCAUCAAUUCCAAGUAUUCCUAUUGGCCUA